AAUUAACUUUCCCAGCAUUCAUCAAAAACAAAUGCUUCUCUGUUUAGAAAACGCUUUUUCUGUGCUUUCCACAACAGCUGUGGCUUAGAAGAGUAGCAUACUAACCCAGCACAGUGCCAUUGACUCCCGUCUUAAGCCAGGGUAUGACUAUCUGUAUGUCUGGCAAUUGCAGAUUUGCAGGGAAUGUACUUCCUUGCUGAUGAGUUUCUAGGCAAUACCUUUUAGUUUUUCUUCCUAAUAAGCAGUGGAUAUAGAAUGUAAUGCAAGUGCCAGGAAAGCCCAGGUUUUGCGUAACCAUCCAAAUAACAGGUCCUGGGUCUUGCAAAAUAAAAGUUUCUGCCUAAAGGAUAGUUUGCAUGUCCUAAGACAGUUUUGGUCACAAUUCUUAAGUGUGACAUAUACUCACAAUAUUUUUCCUUUCCCUACUCUCCUCUAAACUUGCAAGAUUUUUCAAAAGCUAUUUGUAUUUUUUUCAACUUAAGGUCACUAAAUGUGACACUGGAAUAGUUUCUGUAUUUUUUGUCUCAAUUUAGGUGCAGAUAAGAGUCUUUAAAACUUAUAGCAUCAUUUAAGAAAGUAGUUGCCUUUUUUCCCCUCCUUUGCAUUUGUUAAGAAUGAAGAAGUUAUUUUACAUUUGCAUACUGAUAUUUCAUAGAUGUUUCAUGGCAGCUCUUUCAUUUUGAGCUCUGUUUAUGAUUAUGUUGCUGAAUUGUGUAGUCUGUAUUAUGAUAGAGCGGUGACCCUCAGAAUAGUCUUGCAGUUGUGGGCAGGCAGCCUUCUUUCAUCCCAAAACUGCUUCAGAGCCUUAAGUCUGUUGUGUGUCACCUCAUGAACCAACUAAAUUAGAAUAGGUCUCAAAAAAACCCAGCCAAACCCAAAAACCCAGAAAAUUGCAGCUCCAAAUUUAAAAGGAAAAAAUUAAUAUAAUUCCAUUUGAGAAUCCUCAAGUGUUUAGUAACAGGCCAACAAAAGACAGGUAAGCUUUUUCUUUUCUAAUUUGGAGUCACAUUUAAAAAAAAAAAACCCUCCAUGAAUCAAACACUCUGUCUGACCCUCCUCCCAAAUAAAUGUCACUAUCAUAAUGCAAACAUGUUACUCCUACCUCAUCACUUCAAGACGUUAAAAAAGAUGGUUCUUGUAAAAUCAACCUGGGCAAGACAUUCUUGGAUCUGUACUGACAUGCAGACUAUAGUUUUCUUAUACCCUUCACUCUGAAAAAUAAGGCAUUUCAGCAGCAGAUCAUGAAGUUUUGGUAUGGGUAUUGACUGAACUGACUAAAGCCUUAACCAGUUAACUAGACAGAAUGUAGCAGCAUUCCUUACAAAAGACAGCAUGUUAUAGGAUGCUUUUGAUGAUAAUCUGACAUUGUAUAAUAUUAUAAAUUCCCAGAGUUUAUCAGAAAAGCAACUGUUUAGGUAUUUAUUUUAACGUGUUAGGCAUUUUCUUUUGUCUGCUGCUUUAAACUGGAUUUCAUUCAAAUACAAAUGGAUUGGAAACCAAAACUCACAUCUUGUGAAGCAUUUAGAAUUUUCUGACAUUUGCUGGACUGGGCAAAGAAGUUAAAAUUUUUUAAACAUUCUGAAAAGUUGUGACUUGGCAUUUCUGAAAAUUUGCAAUUCAGCUGUACUGAAACUUUUUGUUUCAGCUGCAACUUUACACAAUGAAAUAUUUUAGUAAUACACCUGUUGAGCCUAAAAAGUCUAAACAAUACUGAGCCUUAUCCUCCACAAACUAUGUAGAAAUAAGCAUAUUCUGUGAAGAGAGAUGAAUUAUGGCAAAAUCUUAUUCUUUCUGUAGGAAACAACUGUGCUGUAGAAACAAUGUCUACUAUACUAUAGAUACUGUAAAUCAUAUCUACUGUAUCAUAAGAAGCAUUCUCAAUAAGUGCAUUUCAAGUAAAGGGUAACUUUUUACAUAUAACUUGUUUUGUAUGUGUUUAGAUUUAAAAAUUAUGUUAAAGGCGGUCUGGUAUGUUCAGGAGAAUGAUAAACGGUGCAGAAAAGAGCUGAACAGGAACAAAGUAAAUGAUCCAUAUCUUUCUUGCCAAAUACAAGACUGGGCAGAAUUAUAAGGAAGGGGAAGGCAAGGGCCUGGGGUGAGAUUCUGACCUUGCUGGUGUCAGCAUAACUACUGUUCCAUCCUUGUUUAGGAUGAAGAUACAGCCAUGGAAUUAAGUUUGCUGUUAAUGAGGUCUGUUUUAGAACUUCUCUUUUAUGAACUACAAUCCUUAAAAAUGCUCAGGUACUGUGCUUCACUUACUAUCCUAACAGAUAUUCCUUGUUACUGGCACUUAUAUACUCUGCUUUCCCUUUGAGACAGCACUAGAGGGAACUUGGAGGCCUCUUUGUGUUGCCAGAGAAGAACAGAAUUCGCCCAGGAGGGAGCUGGGGAAUGCAACACAUUAGCACUCCACGAGGCAGACCAGUGGGUGACCUUCAUUAGUCAUCAAGAUUCAACAGCAGUUGGCAACCUUGGCUUCUGUGAUCAUGGAAAUAUACUAGCUGAAAAGUUUUCCAGUGCUGAAAUACAUGCACAACUGGAGAGUAAGGAAGAGGAAAAUGGACAUAACUGAGUAGGAAAUGGAAUGAAACUGUCUACUUAUUGCCAUUCAAGGAGGAAAACGUACGCUUACUUGGGAAAGACAAGACAAGGUUAAUAAUGGUACUAAAGAAAGUAGUUCUGUUUGCUCAAGAACAAGAAGGAACUGGAGGAAAGUUGGCAUCCACAGAAGGAAAAUCUUCAAGGCUCUUUCCUCCUUUUCCGUCACCUGAUGAAACUUGCUUAUAUCUGCUGCUGACCUAUAUGCAUGUGUGUAUACAGAAAGGUUUAUUGAUUGAUUCAUAGGUAGAUAAGUAUGUGUGUGUGUGCACAGUAGCAAUUCUGAAAUAUCUUGGUAAGGAUCUACUUAAUAUAUUUGAAAAUUAACACAGUACCAAGUUAUUCUUCAGUUAACUUUCCAACCUCUAAAUCAGUCCUUCUCAAACCACAAUAAACACAAAAAAGCACAAA